GCUGUCUGGAGUGGGAGAUGUUCCGAGGGUCCGCUAACCAUUUAUAACCCAAGGAAUGUGUCCAUAGAUAUUCAUUGGACAACCACUAUAUCGUGUAGAAUCUUACAGCACAGGAGUGAGUAAAGGACCUCGUGCUGUUAAGCAAAAACACCACAGAUUAUCCAUUAAAGGCCGCACUGAUCAGAAUUGCUUAAGAUGGCGACCAAAGAAGCAGCGACCAGAGACCAGAAAUACAUCAUAACAUGAACUACAGAGUCCAAUCACAAACUGCGUCGAUGAAACCUUGCCCAAGACCCAGGACUCCAGCACCAUCCUCUGACAGCAUCGAGCGAGAGGGAGAGAGAGAUCAUUUGAAUGCAGGGAUCUGCCUCUGGUACUAUCAAGCAAGAGGGAGGGAAAGAGAGACCAUUACAUGCAGACACCUUUCUCUGGUAGCAGCAAGCAAGGGGCUGGUAGACGGCCCUGAACACCUGGUUUCCUUCUGCUCUUGCCUCGAUCAUUUCAAUCUUCCUGAAUGCAGACUUAACUAAUAAUGAAGUACAGAAUGAUAAUAUACACAAUAAUAAUUUACCAAUGUGCAAUAUUAAUGUAUGAAAUAAUAAAGUAGAGACUAUUGUACUAUGAUGGGUGUUCUCCUGUCGCACAAGAUGAACUGUUGUAUAUGCUUAUUGCAUUUGGUAGGAAAGAUUUUCUGUAACAUUCCUUGCGACAGCGGAGCUGAAUGAGUCUGUUCGAAAAGGUGCUCCGCUGCAUAUUCAGUAGGUCAUGGAGAGGAUAUGCCAGAAUGUUCGUAAUGAACAACAGUCUUUUUAGUGACCUCUUCUCCACCACUAACUCAAAAGAGUCCAGGUUGUAGCCAAGAACGGAUCCAGCCUUUUUAAUGAGUUUAUUCAGUCUCUUUCCUUCACCAGCACUGGACGCUGCUCCCCCAAAGUAAAGCCGCGGAGAAGACUGCACUCACUAAAACAGACUGGUAAAAGAUCUCCAACAUCCUGCUGCACACAUUGAAGGAUCUCACCUUCCUUAGAAAAUAGAGUCUGCUCGUCCCCUUCUUGUAAACAGCCUUGGUGGUGGUUUUCCAGUCGAGUCUGUUGUUGCGGUGAACACCCAAGUAUUUGUACUCCUCCGCCGCCACAACUUCUUCUCCUAGAAUGUUUACAGGACUCGUCACAGACCUGUUCCUCUUAAAAUCAAUCACCAGCUCCCUGGCUUCCUCAAAUGAGAAGAAGCAGUUCUUGAGACCGGUCAUACAGACUUUGAAGCUAGUGUAUUGUUUUAUGUAUUUUAUGUUGUAUCCUGUAUUAAUACUCAGUCAUUACUAUAGUGGUGCAAAUACCAAGCUGUAGGAGACAUUAUGAAAUCUACUACGUAAUUAAUAUAAAUGUUUAUGCUUAGUUCUAGCUAUAUGUACAUAUUAGGUAAAUAAACAAUUAUACAGUG